UACGUAGGUGGCAAGCGUUGUCCGGAUUUACUGGGCGUAAAGGGCGUGCAGGCGGUUUGUUAAGUUCAGGGUGAAAGCUCCCGGCUCAACUGGGAGAGGUCCUUGGAUACUGGCAGACUUGAGGAGGGUAGAGGAGAGUGGAAUUCCCGGUGUAGUGGUGAUAUGCGUAGAUAUCGGGAGGAACACCAGUGGCGAAGGCGGCUUUCUGGCCCGUUCUUGACGCUGAGGCGCGAAAGCUAGGGUAGCAAACGGG
rnacentral:rRNA from 1 species